rnacentral:rRNA from 1 species
UACGUAGGGUGCGAGCGUUAAUCGGAAUUACUGGGCGUAAAGCGUGCGCAGGCGGUUUUGUAAGCCAGAUGUGAAAGCUCCGGGCUUAACCUGGGAAUGGCAUUUGGGACUGCAAGGCUUGAGUGCGGCAGAGGAGACUGGAAUUCCUGGUGUAGCAGUGAAAUGCGUAGAUAUCAGGAGGAAUACCGAUGGCGAAGGCAGGUCUCUGGGCUGACACUGACGCUCAUGCACGAAAGCGUGGGGAGCAAACAGG